UACAGAGGCCUCUAGCGUUAGGCGGAAUCACUGGGCUUAAAGCGUGUGUAGGCGGGUCGUUAAGUGCCUUGUGAAAUCCCCUGGCUCAACCAGGGAACUGCUUGGCAUACUGGCGAUCUUGAGCCACCUAGGGGCAACUGGAACAGACGGUGGAGCGGUGAAAUGCGUAGAUAUCGUCUGGAACGCCAAUGGUGAAGACAGGUUGCUGGGGGGUGCGCUGACGCUGAGACACGAAAGCCAGGGGAGCAAACGGG
rnacentral:rRNA from 1 species